rnacentral:rRNA from 1 species
GUUGGAGGGCAAGUCUGGUGCCAGCAGCCGCGGUAAUUCCAGCUCCAAUAGCGUAUAUUAAAGUUGUUGCGGUUAAAAAGCUCGUAGUUCGAGUCAAGUUUCGGACUGGGGUGGGAGGUCACCGCCCGGUGCUUGCCCCCUAGGCUCCGAACAGCUUCCGUGAGUGGAAGCCAAGCCGGUUCUGGCGGGGUGCUCUUUACCGAGUGUCCCGUGCGGCCGGCCAGUUCACCUUGAAUAAAUGAGAGUGCUCAAAGCAGGCUACUCUGGAAUACAAUGCCGGAAUUUUCCUUGCAUGGAAUGAUGGAAGAUGAUCUCGGUUCCAUUUUGUUGGUGGUGGGAGCCCGAGGUAAUGAUAAAGAGGGACUGUCGGGGGCAUCCGUACUACGACGCGAGAGGUGAAAUUCAGUGACCGUCGUAGGACGAACAACAGCGAAAGCAUUUGCCAAGAAUGUCUUCGUUGAUCAAGAACGAAAGUUAGAGGAUCGAAGGCGAUCAGAUACCGCCCUAGUUCUAACCCUAAACGAUGCUGACUAGCAAUUCGCCGUCGUUAUUCCCAUGAUGUGGCGAGACCCCCCCGGGAAACCUCANGUUUUUGAGUUCCGGGGGUAGUAUGGUNGCNAAAGUGAAACUUAANGNAUUGACGGAAGGGCNCCCCCGGAGUGGA